GGGCUCUCCACCGCGCUCCUAGAGCCUCUCACCAGGCCGCCACCGCCCCGCCCCCGCCCCCGUCACCAAAGAGCAAACCCUCUCCUCCCAGGGGCCUGGCACGACCAGGUUCCAGCAUGGAAGAAGAGGAGCCAGGAGUCAGGAGAACUGAAACCUGGGCUCGGAGGAGGCUGGAGGCUGGCGAGGGUCAGCGCCUGCCUCGCUCCGAGAGCCGUCCGCGGCCACCUGAGUCGGUCUCCGCGCCGCAGGUGCCAGGCCAGCCCUCUCCAACUCCCGGAGAGGUAGUAAGUGUAAGGCUUGGAGGCCCGCGCAGCCCAGCCCGCGCCGGGGCGGUGGGUGGGUGGGUGUCUGCUGUGGGAUUAUUCUUAGCGCUCCACUCUCUUUGCAAAAGUGGCGCCUCCGCCCUCCAGGCUCCGGCACGCUCGCUCCGGGCUCGCACGCCCGGCCCAGACACCGGCGCGGAGGAGGGCACCGGGUGGGGUCCGCGAGGGGUGAGACGGCGCGGAGGCGCAGGAGAGGCGGGGGCUCCCGGAGAGGAGGGGGCGCUGCGGGAGGGGCCCCGGCGACAGGCUGCGUUUAACCCUCGGCGCCCCGCACCCAGCCCUGCGCCGCGCGCUCAGCCGCCUCCCCGGACUCCUCCCGGGACGCGGGGAGCCGGGCGGCGGCGCGCCCAGCCCUUACCUAUGGUGGUGAUGACCGUGAUGGCAAAGUAGAAGGAGCCGGCGAAUUUCCACUGGACGCCAGCGCGGUGCGGCUCCGACUGCAGGAUCACCAGCUCCAGCUGCCGGUAGUCCUCGCUGCUUAUGUUGUACUUGCCCUUGAUCCGGACCUCCUCCGCUUUGAGUUUUUCCUCCUCGCGCAUCUCGUGGUCCGACUCGAGGGCGUCGAAGACGGCGGCGCCCACCAGCAGAUGGGAACACUUCCAACGAGAGAGGAUCACGUGCCCAGGGACACAGGCAAUUCGGAUCCAGAACCAGCACUGAACUUCCUCCUGGCUUCUGUCCUGCGUUCCUUCAAGGACCCAGCUGCCUUCUGACCCCAAGUUCACAGUGCCACGAAUAGCCACAGACCACUCCCAAACGCCGUUUCUUCCUUUACUUCCCCCCGCCCCCCCCCCCACAUAUGGCCUUUGGACUCAAGAGAAACAAGCCUGGGAGCCGGGCCUCUGGGGGGUUCUUGGUCGGGGAGGGGGGUAAAAGGAGGGUUUCCUGGUCUGUCCAUCCAGCACCCACACUCCUCUCCUCACCCUACACUCUCCUUCCAUGGUCUUGACCUGCAGGUGGAAGUGAACUCGUUGAAGCAGAGCCUGGGUCUUGACAUCUUCCCUGUGUCCCCAGCACUCAUCCCCAAGGCAGGUGCUCAGCUAGCACUGCGGGUUGCUGCCGCAUGACAGUCCAGAAGGCGGUUAGGCUGGUGGCAGUGCGUCUGGGGAGACCACCUUCCCUCUCUGCCCCUGUGGUCUGGGAGCACCAACUCCAGCUCAGCCUAGAGGUGGAUUCAGAGCUCAGGUGUGGCCAAUCAGAGCCAGGUUUCCCCCAGCCACGGUGAUUGGCUGGGCGUGGCUCACCUCUCAACCAAUGAGAACCCUGGGAAAGAAUUUCUUUGAGGAGUGGGAGGGAGGCAGGUACUGAGACUGCAGGUUCUUUACACACAGUGGGCGUGUCCGUAGCCCCUGGGGCUAAGAAUCACUACCCUGUGUUACCCAGAGAGGCCGACCAGCUUAUUCGGGCCCCUCAGUGAGUCAGUGGAUCUCACUCCCAGUCUAGUGCUGCUUCUACAUCAGCGCUAUGUGUCUGUGAAAGACUCAGCUGCGGGCGGGAAGCGGGGAGGUACCGUGCUCUAGGCCAGCCACCCAGUGCAGCACGUCACGCCUCCGUGCCUUUGCUCACGCCGUUCCCUCUGCCUGUAUACCUUUCCCUGUCCUCUUCAGGCUCCCGUCUCCUCAUCUUUCAAGGUUCACCUCUGGCAGCAUCUCCUCCAGAAGCUUCCCCUGUGCCCAGCCUGGAUGAGGCGCCUGUGUCUCUGCACAUACUUCUAUCCUGUGACCCCUUUGGUGCCAGUCACACCUCCCCUGCCAGACUGUGAGCUCCUUGAGGGCAGGGGCCAUGCCGGCCUCAACUUGGUCAUGCAGGACCUUCCACACAGUAGGUGCACAAUAAAUGUUUGUUAAAAACUAAA